AUACCUAAAACGUUGCCUCGGCGGGAACAGACGGCCCCGUAACACGGGCCGCCCCCGCCAGAGGACCCCCUAACUCUGUUUCUAUAAUGUUUUUUCUGAGUAAACAAGCAAAUAAAUCAAAACUUUCAACAACGGAUCUCUUGGCUCUGGCAUCGAUGAAGAACGCAGCGAAAUGCGAUAAGUAAUGUGAAUUGCAGAAUUCAGUGAAUCAUCGAAUCUUUGAACGCACAUUGCGCCCGCCAGUAUUCUGGCGGGCAUGCCUGUUCGAGCGUCAUUACAACCCUCAGGCCCCCGGGUCUGGCGUUGGGGAUCGGCGGAAGCCCCCUGUGGGCACAACGCCGUCCCCCAAAUACAGUGGCGGUCCCGCCGCAGCUUCCAUUGCGUAGUAGCUAACACCUCGCAACUGGAGAGCGGCGCGGCCACGCCGUAAAACACCCAACUUCUGAAUGUUGACCUCGAAUCAGGUAGGAAUACCCGCUGAACUUAAGCAUAUCAAUAG
rnacentral:rRNA from 2 species